AAAAAAUUGUUUUUGAAUACUGUUUUGGUUCAGUGAGGAAAGCGCCGAGCUUUGUGGUAGUCAGAUCUGAUGGAACCAUGAACUUCGAUUUUCAUUCUUGGGAUUUUCAUUCUUGGAAUUUUUGUGAGUGUUUCUGUAUUAGGUUUUAAGAAGCCGAACUAAUAGCCUUGCUUAGCAGCAAGCACUACAUACCAACGCCAGCU
rnacentral:lncRNA from 1 species